GACGAACGCUGGCGGCGUGCUUAACACAUGCAAGUCGAACGGAAAGGCCCUGCUUUUGUGGGGUGCUCGAGUGGCGAACGGGUGAGUAACACGUGAGUAACCUGCCCUUGACUUUGGGAUAACUUCAGGAAACUGGGGCUAAUACCGGAUAGGAGCUCCUGCUGCAUGGUGGGGGUUGGAAAGUUUCGGCGGUUGGGGAUGGACUCGCGGCUUAUCAGCUUGUUGGUGGGGUAGUGGCUUACCAAGGCUUUGACGGGUAGCCGGCCUGAGAGGGUGACCGGCCACAUUGGGACUGAGAUACGACCCAGACUCGUACCGGAGGCAGCAGUGCAGAAUAUGACACAAUGGGCGGAAGCCUGAUGCAGCAACGCCGCGUGCGGGAUGACGGCCUUCGGGUUGUAAACCGCUUUCGCCUGUGACGAAGCGUGAGUGACGGUAAUGGGUAAAGAAGCACCGGCUAACUACGUG
rnacentral:rRNA from 1 species